rnacentral:rRNA from 1 species
CAUGCAAGUCGAGGGGCAGCAUGAUUUGUAGCAAUACAGAUUGAUGGCGACCGGCGCACGGGUGAGUAACGCGUAUGCAACUUACCUAUCAGAGGGGGAUAGCCCGGCGAAAGUCGGAUUAAUACCCCAUAAAACAGGGGUCCCGCAUGGGAAUAUUUGUUAAAGAUUCAUCGCUGAUAGAUAGGCAUGCGUUCCAUUAGGCAGUUGGCGGGGUAACGGCCCACCAAACCGACGAUGGAUAGGGGUUCUGAGAGGAAGGUCCCCCACAUUGGUACUGAGACACGGACCAAACUCCUACGGGAGGCAGCAGUGAGGAAUAUUGGUCAAUGGCCGAGAGGCUGAACCAGCCAAGUCGCGUGAAGGAAGAAGGAUCUAUGGUUUGUAAACUUCUUUUAUAGGGGAAUAAAGUGGAGGACGUGUCCUUUUUUGUAUGUACCCUAUGAAUAAGCAUCGGCUAACUCCGUGCCAGCAGCCGCGGUAAUACGGAGGAUGCGAGCGUUAUCCGGAUUUAUUGGGUUUAAAGGGUGCGUAGGUGGUGAUUUAAGUCAGCGGUGAAAGUUUGUGGCUCAACCAUAAAAUUGCCGUUGAAACUGGGUUACUUGAGUGUGUUUGAGGUAGGCGGAAUGCGUGGUGUAGCGGUGAAAUGCAUAGAUAUCACGCAGAACUCCGAUUGCGAAGGCAGCUUACUAAACCAUAACUGACACUGAAGCACGAAAGCGUGGGGAUCAAACAGGAUUAGAUACC